rnacentral:rRNA from 1 species
GACGAACGCUGGCGGCACGCUUAAAACAUGCAAGUCGAACGUGAAGCCCGGGCUUGCCCGGGUGGAAAGUGGCGAACGGGUGCGUAACACGUGAGCAACCUGCCCCGAAGACUGGGAUAACACCGGGAAACCGGUGCUAAUACCGGAUGCCUUCACCAUGUCGCAUGGCGAGGUGAAGAAAUGGAUUCCGCUUUGGGAUGGGCUCGCGGCCUAUCAGCUUGUUGGUGGGGUAAUGGCCUACCAAGGCAACGACGGGUAGCUGUCUGAGAGGAUGUCCAGCCACACUGGGACUGAGACACGGCCCAGACUCCUACGGGAGGCAGCAGUUAGGAAUCUUGCGCAAUGGGCGAAAGCCUGACGCAGCGAUGCCGCGUGCGGGAUGAAGGCCCUCGGGUCGUAAACCGCUUUCAGCAGGGACGAUUAUGACGGUACCUGCAGAAGAAGCCCCGGCCAACUACGUGCCAGCAGCCGCGGUAACAC